rnacentral:lncRNA from 1 species
UUCUCUGAUAUUGAAUAAGAUAUUUUUAGUAGACACAGAGUGUCCUAUAUCGGUAGUUGGAAAUGAUCUUUAGUAACAUAUAAGACAAUUGAGUCAUUCCACUUUGUGUCUAGUACUUUCUUGAUCAAGUACGUCCUGUAUAUCUUCAAAACUCUAGAUAGCUGUUGAUACUGCCGAUGUUCUUCACUUAACGUCUGAAAGACUUUGCAUCUCUUGAGCCAAAAAAGACAAGUUAAGGAUCCGACAAUAUCA